UGGGGAAUAUUGGACAAUGGGGGGAACCCUGAUCCAGCGACGCCGCGUGAGUGAAGAAGUAUUUAGGUAUGUAAAGUUCUAUCAGCAGGGAAGAUAAUGACGGUACCUGACUAAGAAGCCCCGGCUAACUACGUGCCAGCAGCCGCGGUAAUACGUAGGGGGCAAGCGUUACCCGGAUUUACUGGGUGUAAAGGGAGCGCAGACGGAUUUGCAAGUCUGAAGUGAAAGCCCGGGGCUAAACCUAGGAGUUGCUUUGGAAACUGUAUAACUAGAGUAUCGGAGAGGUAAGGGGAAAUCCUAGUGUAGAGGUGAAAUGCGUAGAUAUUAGGAAGAACACCGGUGGCGAAGGCGGCUUACUGGACGAAAACUGACGUUGAGGCUCGAAGGCGUGGGGAGCAAACAGG
rnacentral:rRNA from 1 species